rnacentral:rRNA from 1 species
ACUCCUACGGGAGGCAGCAGUGGGGAAUAUUGCACAAUGGGCGCAAGCCUGAUGCAGCCAUGCCGCGUGUAUGAAGAAGGCCUUCGGGUUGUAAAGCACUUUCAGUAGGGAGGAAGGUAGUGUAGUUAACACCUGCACUAUUUGACGUUACCUACAGAAGAAGCACCGGCUAACUCCGUGCCAGCAGCCGCGGUAAUACGGAGGGUGCGAGCGUUAAUCGGAAUUACUGGGCGUAAAGCGCAUGCAGGCGGCCUGUUAAGUCAGAUGUGAAAGCCCGGGGCGUUAACCUCGGAAUUGCAUUUGAAACUGGCAGGCUAGAGUCUUGUAGAGGGGGGUAGAAUUUCAGGUGUAGCGGUGAAAUGCGUAAGAGAUCUAGAAGGAAUACCAGUAGGCGAAGGCGG